UAUGUGUGUGUGUAUGUGUGUA
rnacentral:miRNA from 1 species